rnacentral:rRNA from 1 species
UACGUAGGUGGCAAGCGUUGUCCGGAUUUACUGGGCGUAAAGAGCGCGCAGGCGGUCGUUCAAGUCGCGUGUGAAAGCCCCCGGCUCAACUGGGGAGGGUCACGCGAUACUGAUCGACUGGAAGGCAGGAGAGGGUAGUGGAAUUCCCGGUGUAGUGGUGAAAUGCGUAGAUAUCAGGAGGAACACCGGUGGCGAAGGCGCUCAUCUGGCCCAAUACUGACGCUGAAGCGCGAAAGCUAGGGGAGCAAACGGG